AAGUCAUAACAAGGUCUCCGUAGGUGAACCUGCGGAGGGAUCAUUAGAAAUGCUUUGUUUCUUCUCUUGUUGUCGUUCGCUGUUCGCAGCGGCCGGCGCAACGAGAAACAUCAUUUCCCGGCCGCUAGGAGGUGCUCGCUUGCGGGCGCUGACUGGCAGCUGGAACUUUCCGAGGGUGGACGUUCGCGCCCAUCCCUUGGGAAUUAUCUAUACCUAUCUUUGUCUGAAUCUUUAUCCUACUUCCGCAGUGCUUGCACAUUCGGAUUUAGUAGUAUAAUACUAAAACAACUUUCAACAAUGGAUCCCUCGAUUCUCC
rnacentral:misc_RNA from 1 species